AUCAUACAGGGACAUCCAGUUU
rnacentral:miRNA from 1 species